rnacentral:tRNA from 1 species
GCCGAAGUGGCGGAACGGUAGACGCGCCGGUCUCAAAAACCGGUGAGCAUUAAGCUCGUGUGGGUUCGAUUCCCACCUUCGGCACCA